AGAGGAGGAGAGCAGCUGGAAGUGAAGCUGUGGAGCAAAAGCAGAGCGCUGACUCCACUGAUGAUACGUACACAGCUCUGGAUCCAGCGUCCAGAAGAUCUGCUGACGUUUACAGCACAAUCCCAUCUGUCGGCUCCAGAGCUCCUGAUGAUGAGACCUACACGGCUCUUGAGCUUCAGUCCAGAUCUUCUGAAUAUGAGACUCUACAUGUAGCAGGAGCUUCAGCAGAUCCACAUUAAACUCUCCUCGCUGUAUUACUGCUCAUAUACAGGCAAAUACUGAAGCUCCUCAGAAACUGAUCAUCAUUAGAGCUCAUCAACAUCUGACUGCUCAUAAACACAUAUUAGACUUUAUUCACACAGUAGGAUUCUUCUGCUUAUGCAAACACAGUUUAGGAUAAAAUAUAGCAUUUAUAUUAGAUUUAUAUUAGAUUUUAGGGCUGGCAGUGUUUUCCUCAUUAUUUUAAAUUAUUGUUUGCUU